UUUUGGGGAGACAGAGCUGCUUCCAGGCCACCAGAGCAGAGUUGCUGUUUGUAUGGUUGCCUGACCACAAGAAGUUUCUGCAGAUGCAAAUAAUUUGAUGAACUACAUUGCUUGGCAUAGGAAAGAUGCUAAGCCAGAACUGAACCAUUCCAUAGAGUACUGUCCGCACAAGCUCCAAUCUCCCAGCAUAAGUGAGAUGUUUUCCCAUCCAACUUUGCACUGCCAAUUCCAGUUUCUGCAACAAAGGAGAGUAUUGGCUUGCUAGAAGUCUGUGGGGACUGAGAGGGACACCAAGAUAUUUGAAGGGGAAACUUCCUUCUCUAAAGCCAGUGUCAUGGAGGAUUAACUGCUUCAAACUAUCUCUAACUCCCCCAAAAUAGAUCGAUGAUUUCGCUGCAUUUAUAGUCAACCCUGAAGUUUGCCCGAAGAUGAUUAGCUGCUGGAAAAUAGUGGAAACCGAGUGUCUAUCCCCACGAGACAGCAAAAGCACAUCAUCAGCAAAGGCAAGGUGGCAUAUAUCAUGGACAUUACAUUUCGGGUGGAAGCGAAAAUCACUAUUCCUCGACGCUAGCUUAAGCAUUCUGGAGAAGUAUUCCAUGCAUAAGAUGAAUAAAUAUGGUGAUAAUGGAUCACCUUGUCUAACUCCACUUUUUCCAGGAAAGAAACCAUAAAGAGUGCCAUUUACUGCAACAGAGAAGGAUGUAGUUUCAACACAUUUCAUAAUUAAGUGCACAAAUCGGUCUGGGAAGCCAAACUCAUGCAGCAGCUGACGCAGAAAAUGCCACUGAACUGAAUCAAAAGCUUUCUUGAAAUCAACCUUCAUGAGACAUCUAGGAGAAGCUCUUUUCCUGCCGUAAUGACGAAGAAGCUCCUGGACUAAAUUGAUGUUGUCUGACAUCAUUCUCCCACCUAGAAAGGCAUUUUGCAAUGGACUAAUAAUGACGUUUAGAGCAGAAGCUAAUCUCCCCGAAAGGAUUUUAGAUAUCACUUUAUAGAUCACAUUGCAACAAGAAAUGGGCCGAAAGUCAGCUGCUGUAUUUACAUUUGCUGCCUUGGGGAUCAGAGCAAUAAUAGAGUGGUUAACUUGCUUCAAAAGUUUCCCAGAAGUAAAGAAAUUCUGAACAGCCGCACAAAAAUCCCCUCCAAUGAUAUCCCAUGAUUUUUUGAAGAAGAAUGAAGAAUAACCAUCCGGCCCUGGAGCUUUAUCAUUCCCAAUACCAAACAGAGCAUUUUUAAUGUCGUCAUUGGAUACAGGAGCUAAAAGAGACUCAUGAGAUCUUUCAUUGAGGCAGGGCCCACUUUGAAUAACAUCAAUAUCUAGGGGGAGAGUUUCCUUGCAAGAGCCUAGGAGCUGCUGGUAGAACCUUACGAAUUCUUCACCCAUUUCAGCCUCUGAUGUAGUCAGGGUGCCAUCACUACAGUGAAUAGCAGGAAUAUAAUUCCGUCUGUUUUUUGAUUCAUUAGUGCAUGAAAAAAACUUGUGCCUCUGUCACUGUCUUUGAAAAAGUUGCACUUAAGUUUCUGCGAGAAGAACAUUUUCUCCAAUGAUUUAAGAUUCAUUAGUGUCAACCGUAACUGCUUAUCAUGCUCCAAUAGGUGUAAAUUGUCCCUGUCAUCAUGAAGAGCAAUUUGGUGAUUCUCUAGUGAUGCCUCAGCUCUAGCAACUCUUUCAGAUAUGUGGCUGAAAUGAAGUUUAUUUAGCUCCUUCAAAGGUCUCUUCAGAAACUUGAGCUUCUUACAAAGAGAGAACAUAGGCGAGCCUUGGAUGUGGCUGGUCCAGUUAUCAGAUAUAAUCUGCAAGAAAUUAUCGUGAGAAGCCCACAUAUUGAAGAAUUUAAAAUGGCGUCUCCCCUGUCUGUUCUGGUAAUCAAACCGAAUAAUUGCUGGAGAAUGAUCAGUGAAGGCCCCAGGAUUGCCGAAGUGGACGUGAGCUGGAGCUUGUAGUGAAGACCAAGAUGAGUUGACCAGAACUCUAUCUAUUUUGCUCCAUACUCUUCCAUUAUUCCAGGUAAAGUGGCAACCCGUGAAAUUGAGAUCAACAAGCCCAAGGUCUGUACAACAUUCUCUAAAAUCCGAUGUUUCAUAGCUGGAGACAGGCUCUCCAUUGUGCUUGUCAGUCUGAGACAGGACAGAGUUAAAGUCACCCAUAACCAACCAUGGGCAAUUAGGCUGCCAUGCUCUUAAGUCUGUCCAUAGGGAUCUUCUUGCAACAAUUGUAUUGAAUCCAUACACAAAAGUGACAGUGAAGCUAAGCUGGAGGACUAAGCUGCUGAUAAUUACAUGUAACCCUUGAGCUGAACAAUCAAGUAAUUCAACUUUGACCGUUGAUGGAUUCCAAAAAACCAAUAUUCUGGCAUUGUUGGCAGCUGUAGCAUUAGUAAGGAACUUCCAGUGUUUCAUCCGAAACUUAUGCAUGGAGGAAACCUUAGAAGAGUGCAACUUGGUCUCCAGAAGCCCACAAACAUCCAUUUUAUGUUUCUUCAUGAGGUUAACCACCUCA
rnacentral:lncRNA from 1 species